GCUGCCGAUGGCGUACCGGCUGCGCGGCCCGCUGUCGCCGGGCACCCUCCAGCAGGCGUUCGACUCGCUCGCCGCCC
rnacentral:tRNA from 1 species